rnacentral:sRNA from 1 species
CUUUUUUCUUUCUGCCUCUGUCGUCUCUCUCGCUGGCUUUUUUUUUUUUUUUUUUAAUGAAGAACCGUUCCAUGAACAUUUUGCACAGAGCACAGAAUUGCUUCUAAAGUCAGUCCGGCGCGGUUGCAAUAGACAGCAAAAAGGUAAACGUUUGCCUGAAAUCCGCACGCCAGCUCCACCACCCCGCCCGAUGGUUCUGUAACAAUCAAGAAUGUGUGGACACCUACCUGUGGGAGGAGGCUUUCAGGGACAUUGUGUCUGGUUCCUGCUGACGCCAGCAUUCUGGAGAUGGACAGCUGUUCAAGGGAAUGAAGAUUCCCCCACAGGACAAGGACUAUUGCCUCCCUGAGUAUCCUAAAAGGUCUCUUGAAACAAACCAAACACUCAGAACUUCUGUGACUGUCAUGGACAGUGUCCUGUUACUGGCUUUAAACAGAGCCCCUCAUGCAGAAGAAGCCCUGUAUCCUGGAGUUAGAUGUCAAUCAUCCUGGGAAGGCUCGUCCAAGAACGCAUGCUUAGAAGAAAACUGUUUUAGGCAUCAUCAUCUAUCACGUGGAUGUCUCUGCCCAGUCCUCCCUUUCCACAAUCACCAACAAUGAAGCCCCAACGCGGGGAGUCCCCGAGUAGCCCCCAAUGCACACACCUGCUGCACGACGUGGGAGGAGCUUUUCUGUGGGAGCCGAGGCCACACACAGGACCCUGGGGAAGAACUCCCAAAGAGACUUACUUUUACGGAAGCCUGUGAUCCUUUAAGAAUGACCAACAGUGCAAAUCAAGUCAAAAGACUUAGAUGCUCUCUCCACUACUCCAUCUCCAGCACCUAGAACAGGUAGAGUAUGUAACUGAUGACUGACUGAAUGGCCCUGGGGAGAGAUUCACAAGAUCACUAUGGGGGGGGAGGUGGGCAGAAGGGAAUGUAAGGAUAGGGAGGUGUGUGCCAAGGUGUUGCUGGCAAUGUUGUGUGCAAAAGAAGAUAAGAUCUCUUGUUGACUGUUGUAAAAAGAAGAUGAACGAAGUGUUGUGUUCAAAUGAGUCCAGUUGAGUGUACCACAGACAAUGAUUGACUUCUUCCCAGUCCCUCACGGGGUAGUAUAGUUUGAGAGGUUUACAUUAAGCUUAUCCCCUCAGAGGCCCUCAGAGGAGGCAAUGAAUAGAUUUGCAAGGAAAAACAACAACAACAACAACAACAACAACAACAACAACAAUAAUAACAACAGGGACCCCACAUGCAAUUCAGGGGAAGUACUUUGAAGCAUUUCAAGGAAGACUCUGAGAAAUGAUAAUAAAGUUUAACGGGAAGGAAUAUUAACUGAUAUGAUUUUCUUCCAAGAAGCAAUUUUGGAUAUAAUAUUUCAAGCUCUAAGUUACAAACUCAGUGACUAGACCUUGAAUGCUUUUAUUUGUGUCUUGGGGUUUCUGUUCCUUCAAUUGAAAAAGAAAAUUAUUAAGAUGAUUUUUUUUCCAGAAAGAUUAAUGGGUAUAGCAUUGGCUGACCAGUUUCCAUAAAACUAUAGUAGCAUAGAAUCACCUAGAUUAAGAACUAGGUUUAAAUCCUGGGACGGCUUAGUAAUACCAGUGCUCAAUUAAAAAUUCCGUAGCAUUGAUUUGAUGAAGAAAAACGUCAUGGUAUGACUGCAACUUUCCCUUCCAGUUGUUAUUGGACACGUUAAUGGAGGGAUGUCCUACAUAGGCUUUGGCAGUCAGAAGGCCAGUUCUCAAAUUAAAAUGAAGUUUCAAAUCCGAGCAUAGGGACAAAAUAAUUUACUUGAAGGGUAACAAAGGAGGUUCUUGCCUAAAAAUAAAUGUGAUAGAUUUGGCUUCAAUGUUAGGUGGCACUUCUUUAUAAUUUUUGUAAACCUGAAAUCUUUCAUAAUUCACACAGAUAGAAAUGCUAGCCACUUGAAGGUGAAAAAUGGUACUGUAUUUUAUUUUACAUUCUCAAUGUCUAGCACCUGUUUCUUGGUAUGUAAACAAUCUAUUUAACUGUUUUUGAAAGAGCAGACUAAAAAUAUUUUGUCAAUGUGUGUGUGUGUGUGUGUGUGUGUGUGUGUGUGUGUGUGUGUGUGGUGUAUGCAUGUGUGGUAUAUGUGUACAUAUGUGGGCAGAUGCAGAGGCCACAGGAGGACAUUGGGUGUCAUGUUCUAUCUUUUGAGACAGGACUUCUCAUUGAAUGUGGGGCUAGGCUGACAGUCAUCAAGCCCCAUUCAUUCUCUCUCUCUCUCUCUCUCUCUCUCUCUCUCUCUCUCUCUCUCUCUCUCUCUCGUGCUGAUACACACUGAACUCCUAAUCCAAAUCCAAGUUGUUAAUUUUUGACAGAGUCGCAGAAUGUGAUGUCUUGCUGUGCACACCCUUCCGAUAACGAGCCCAGCAUAAAAAGAAAGCAUGACCCUAGACGUGGAGUGAAUGGAGUGUGCAGGUUCCGACGAGUUCACUGCGGCUCCAGUGGGGAUCGGGCAGGCUCCAAGCACUAAAUAACCCUAAUGAUAUCAGGACUGGUCCUGCUUGCUCCAUCUACACACUGUUGGUUAACAGUGGACCCUCUGACUCUCAUGAGGAUGACUGGACAUGUGACAGAAGACCAGGAGUCCGGGAGGCUGCCCUUUCCUGCUUUAACUUUGUUCUGUCAGAAUUGAUAAGAUUUCGAUUUCCAGUUAAAACCCGCCAUCGGGUGUUCAGCAGGACAGUGAAAGAACGCCCGGCACACUGAACCAACAGUCAGAGGUUGAACCUACCAGCAAAGCUGGCUCUGAUGGACAAACGCUUCCUAGGGCUCCUUCCUGAUGCAGCUGCUAUCUGCAGACCUCCUGGACUGCCCUGGGAAGGGAGUGGGAGCUCCUGCCACAGAUGGGCGGAACAUCGGCAAGAAGGGUUAAAAGUGGCCAAAAAUAACAGUGCCUUCCAGAUGAGGUGACCUCAGAGCCAAGAGCAUCAUGGGCUAGUGGCCUGCCAAUCACAGGACAUCAGCAUGCGCAGAGCCCAGCAUCUUCUCCAGGUUCAGCUUUUACAUCUUCCUUUGGAGGGCCUACUCCGAUCUCAGGACCGCAGGUGAGGUGCUAUCUUUGGUAAGCAUUUUCUCCGUCUAGUCACCACUAAAAGCACUUUUCAUCUGGACCUUUAGUCUCUGAAUACCAACCAGGGUGGAAGUCACCUUUAAUCCUCACAGAGGUUGAGUUUCUUUCCUCUUAGUACAAAGCCACAUAUAUCCACUGUGGAGAAUUUAGAACACACAGAAAAGCAAAAUUAUAUUUGUGUGCACCAUGACUACCCUUUGAUGUGGGCCCUGCUCGAUAUGAUGAUUUUUAUAGACAAAACCCAGCCACACUUAGAUGGGAAAUACUUUCUUCUGAGCUGCUUGCUGGCUGGUAGAACCAGUUCCAUGGAAUGUCAGUGCCAGGCCCCAGCUGAUUGGCAUAGGGCUGGCUAUCGCCCUGGUUGGGCAUGUAUCUGCUCUUUCUUUCAGAUUCAAUCAGAUAGUGUCUGAGACUGGACCUAUAAUAUCUCACUGAGGUAGGAUUAGUCACUGUGCCUGGAAACUUAGCGCUUUGCUGGGGAAGGUGGUUUGUAGGAGAGAAUAGGGGAGACUGUGAGACACUGAGGGAAAGUCAGAGUUAAAGGAAGCAGAACACCACACACCUGGUCCCAGUGUUCUCCGUGACUUUUCUCAGGUGGCCUUGCCUCCGGAUCUUGACUCUGUCCUUGAGCAGUGUCUCUGAGAUGCCGGUACCUGCAUCUAACCAUGCCUGCCCAAGAGGAUUGCUUUUUGUAAACUCCCUUUGCAAUGAAUAAUAGACUUUCUCUGUGUAUCAUCUGAUCAUCCAGAUUAUAAUUUUCAAUAUGGUAGGUCAAGUGCUGUGGGGGGAGGGGCACUGCAGCUAAUGUGAGCAGCUUGAGCUCUGGUUUGGAAUAACACUGAGUUCACAGGCCCUUCCUCAUCUCCUUUGCUGUGUGAUUCAGUCAGCCGAUGAACACUAUUUAUCUCAGUAUUUUCAUCUGUAAAAUGGAAAAUCUCAAGAAAUCUUAGAGUUCCUAGACUUAAACUUGCAGUAUAGCAGAGGGUGACCUUACAUUCCUGACUCUCUUGCCCUCAUGUCCACGACGUGCUGGGUGAUCUGACCUGGUGCUGUUGUUAACAAUCACAAACGGUUCUCUGUCAACAGUCUUCCUAGUUUUAAAACACGACAGUAAGAAUUCUUUCAGAGCUGAGCCUUUAGGCAUUGGUACUCCUUGGGCUGAGUGACCCCCACCCUGAAACACUGGACCAGAGAUCAUGAGCAUGAAAAAUGCCUAAGUGUGGUUCCCGCAUCACUGCUGCCUGUGGAGUGUCUGCUACCCAAGUCUCUGCCAUCCUUAUCCCUGCCCUUUCUGUGGCUUUGGAGAAAGUGCAUUUCCUUCCAUGUCUGCGGUGUGAUCUAUACUCAACUUCCAACGAAACAAAGACUGUCACAUCUGACCUCCGGAGCUCUUUCAGUUCCUCUUUUCCAGAUUCUAAUUAACUUAAAGGAGUGGAGACUAAAGAAAAAAUUCAAUGUGGUCUUAAGGAAAGCUAAGACACAAACUUGUAUUUGAGCACUGCUUCUAUGUACACAGACCAUGAUUUUGUGAGUUACUUGAAUUUUUUGAGGUUCCUUUUAAUCCUCUACUAUUGAAUGAAUAGUGAACUCCAAGCAUUACACUGUACCUGAUGCUCCUGGUUGCACACUAAGGGCUGAAUAGAAGAAGAAUUCUAUUGGCAAUGGAGAGAAGCUGGAAGGGCUUGCACUAAGGAAGAAUUCACAGCUCUCACUAGCAAGAAGUCCAGGAUGAAAAACUUAGAAAUUAUCCCUGUUCUACCUAAAAAGCAGACAUGAGAAUGCUCAAAGCAUCAGCACUAUAGCAGAACUCACCAUAGGAGUUUCUGCUGCCGGAAACAUAUCUAUGUUAUCUGACCUAGACAGACUGAUCUUGUCGUGAGAGAGUGAGGAGAACUAGCAGAUGAAAUGACCAAAGUAUCCCACUCAUCCCCAGAGAACUGUGACUUCAGGAAAUGACUGGAAACCAAAGGUAUGCAAAUACUGCUUUACUUACACAUGUUUCAAAGGUAAAUGUUGGAAACAGAUGAGACACCUGAUAGCCCACUUAAUUAGAUUGGGAACUUAUUGAGGCAGAAUUUAAGAGCUGUUUACAAUGGGAUCUUUUUGACAUUGUGUAGUGGAAGAGGAUUGAGCUAUAGGACAUGGGUUGAGAAGGAAACAGUGGGUAGGGUAGGAAUAGAAACAUUUAGUUUGUUCAUGGUUCAUAAGGGUGUCUUGUCUACUCACUUCUUGCUUUCUAGGGUGAGUGAGUAGCUAGGGAGAGAUGAUGUAUGCCAGGCUUUUAAAGCUGUAGGUGCUCAUGGACUCAAGGGCUCUUGUUAGACUUCUGAUUCAGUAUUUCUGGGCUGGGCCCUGCAUUUCUAAGAGGUUCUUUGAUGCUGUUCUUGUUCCUUGCAUCACACAUUGACUUCAGCCUAUGGGUUAAAAACUAGCAUUAUAAUUAGUUUCUGAAUCAGUAAAUGUGGUGGUUUGAAUGUGCUUGGCCCAGGGAGGAGUGACACUAUUGGGAGGUGUGGCCUUGUUGGAGUAGCUGUGGCCUUGUUGGAGGAAGGGUAUCACUGAGGGGGUGGGUUUUAAGGCCCUCCUCUUAGCUGACUCAGUCUCCAGACUGAGCACAUUUCUCCAUCUCUAGUUGCCUCUGACGUCUGUGGGAAUUUUUCCUCUCUGGGUUGCACAAUCCCAUUGUGAAGUGCACCACUUUCUGUUUGUGCCUCGCUAUGGCAAUAAUUUCCUAUCCAUGUUUUGGAUUGUCCAGAGAAACAAAUUUAGACUACACAUGGACAUUGACUCCUGUUUGCAGGCCACUUCAUCCAUUUGGCCUGGGAAUGCAACACUCUAUGAAGCUUGUCUCAUCUGAGCCUUUCUUUGCUAGAGUAUUUUGUUUGUUUUGCUUUGUUUUCUAUAAUGAAUUUCUUGGAGGAGGAAAUACAACUGAUCUUUUGUUUAUUUAUCUUUUAAAAAGUUGGCCUUUUAAAAAGAUGAGGACUUCUACAGAAAAGUGUCCCAGAUGCUUGGACACGGUGGCACACUCUUCUAUUGCUAGUGCUCUGGAGGAGUACCACAGCAGUUCCUAGCACUUAGUAGGUACUGAAUCAAGGAACCCUGUCUCUAAACAAACAAAUAGCAAAGGAAAAGGUGAAUCAGAAGAAAAGCUAUAACUCAUACUGGCAAAUGAUUUAGAUAUCUGACAGAAGACAUAGAUGGAAGGACAAUGUACCACAGCCACCAAAACCAAGGAGGGUAAGAUCCCUGAUCCUUAAAGGGAAGGCUUUAAUGGAGGCAUACCAUUUAAAACUCAGUGCUCUGAAGUUUCUCACUCUCUGCACUUUUUCUUCUUCUGGGUCUCUGGAUUUGUUCUCAAGAAGCUUCUGCAAGAACCACCUUCUCUGAUGUGGGCUGAGUGAGGUAUUGGUCUACAGGUAUAACAAAAUGUCAUUAACAGCCAUUUAAUUAUUAUAUUCUUUAGCAGCAUUAUAGGGAUUAGGCUUUUCUCUAGACCCAGGACCUAUUUAACCUCAAGUUCUUGACCUCCCAAUCAGUAUAAGAUAUGGGUUCCAUAUGAUGGAGAGGGCCUUAAAUCCAAUCAUAAAUUCAUUGGAUACUUCUGCAAUGUUUGUGCCACUAAUGCACUAGCUUGUCUAGAGCCAGGUCAGUGUCGUAGGCUGCAGGUUGUUUCACCUGGGAGAUAUUGACAAUUUAUCUUUCUCUUCUGGGAGAAUGCAGAGUAUCUUUCACUACUAUGAAUGCUAGUCAGUAGGGAUGAAGCUUCUAGUUAGGUACCCACUCAACUUCUCUGAUAACAACACACUUUUAAGGUAAUACUUGUUAUUAAGCAAUAAAUGGCCUAUUAGCAAACUGAACCCAUUCAUAUAUGUAAAAUGCAAGCAUGUUAUAGGACCACUAGAUACGAUUUAUCACUAGUAUACAAGAGUAAAUUCUAACCAUUACUAGGAUACAACGGUUAGUAUAUCCUAACCAUUACAGCUGUAUAUAUACAAAUUAGCUAAUCAUAACAUGCAUAAAUAAUGGGCAGAUUUGAUUGGUUGUAAUUUAGGUGAUGGUGGCUAGUGGGUGUCAAAACUCAGGAUUCUGGCAGCUUGUAUAUUUCAGUGGUUGGAAGGAAUCAAGGGUAGACAUGGGGGUGGGGAUGGAGUAAUCUAACCUUAGAACAAGACUGUGGAUCUUUGUGCUUAUUGAUUUAUUUCCUGGUUUUUAAAGAAUGUUUCCAUUUUGAAAAUACUUUGAGGAAUUCAUAUAAUGUAUUUUUAAAAUAUUUAUCCUCUACUUCUUCUAACACCUACUCUUGCCUCCCUAUCCACAAUGAACACACACACACACACACACACACACACACACACACACACAUACACACACACAGAGUUCAAUAUCUGUUGUCCAUAUAUUUUUUCAUGGAUGUCCAUCCAUUGGAACAUCAUCCAUCUACCAGGACUGUAUCUUUAAAUAAAAACUACUUUCCCUCUUCCAGGAGCUAUCAGUUCCCAACAGCUCCUCAACUAGGGAUGAAACACAGUGUGCCCAACUCCCCUCUUCAUGCUGAGAUUUUGUUUCCUGGCUUGAGAUUUCAAAGGCCAUGUGCAUGCUAACUAAUGGUUGAGAAGCAUUCCUUUAAGUUGUUCGCCAUGAUACUUUUUCACUUUGUAGGAUACACUCGAGAGAGGAGUGGUAAAUAAGAAGCACUGACAGGAAUUUCACUAGGUGUCAUGAGGACAGGGCAACUUAGAGUUUCAAUGGACCUGGUGUUAAUAUAGGGCCACACAUUUGUACAUUCAUCAUUAGCAUGCAGUUUACUCUAUGCUUGGUCAAAGAGCAGAAAACAAUAUAUUUAAAGGGAACUUUGUAAGCUUCCUUAGAGAAUAUGAUUGUUUAAGUUGGUUACAAAUAGUCACUUCAAAUGCUGACGGAUUUCACCCAUGGCACAAGACCUCCUGGCAAUGUUAGGCCCCCUCCUGAGCCUAUAACUGCAGUCAUUGUUUUUUGUAGGUCGUUAGAAUGCUUUUGCUGCUGGUAAUUCCAGAGGCACACAUACAAAUGCUGGGAAGAUAUCUGUGACCCCUGAUUUUCUCAGCUGUCCUCGCUGGACACUUAUCUGCAGGGUGCACCAUCUCUGAGUGAAAAAUCUUCUAUCCUCACCAAGAGGAGAUAUUUUCUUUCCUACUCAGUAUAGCUCUAUUUGAGUCCCUGGGACUCCUAUGGGACUCUAAUGAUGUCAGAGCAGGGAGGAGCUUUCCGGCUAGGUUUUUGUCACAGGCAGCCUUUAACCCUAUUCUGAAGAUUCUUUCUGCUUCAUCUGUGUCUGGCAUAGUCCGAGAGUUAAUUUAAAGGAUUUCCCUUUGGUUUACCUUGAGAAAGUGGACUCUCUAGUCCACUUCUGGAGCCUUGAAAACCUGACACCUUUCCUCUAAUGAGGAGAAUCAUCUUUGACUACAGGAGAGCAACAGUGUAGAGCUCUGUCUAAAAGAUUCUGCUAAGGAAAUUUAAACAAAGCAAAUCAUGGACACCUCAGCUGCAGGACCCUGUUACUUAGGUUGGGAUGAUGGCUAUUAGGUCAGUGACUGUAAGUCUAUCCUAUAAACACAGAUUAUAAGAUUUAAACAGGGGCUUUGCCUCACACAACAAUGAUGUCAGCAGCCAAUGGUAGGAGCUGCCCUGCCAUUUCUGUUUUAUCAUUUAAAGAGACAGUAUCCAGACUUCUAGUCUACAUCUAUCACAUAGACAUAUUGAUUUCCUUUCUAGAGAAACACAUAUUUCUUCCCUCAUGCUGAAAAGAUAAAUCUGACAGAUUUAAUCAAAUGUAGUUGUUCACAACUAUAGAAAUGUGUAUAGUACCUCAUGCGAAAACAAAUCACAGUAGCUUCUAAAGGAAGAAUUCUGUGCACUGUAUUACUUAUAGACAAAAAUUGUACUACCACACAUGUCUGGAAAUAUGUGUACAAACAUACACACAGAGGCAGUGAUAAGAGCUAAGUGUAAUGUUAAUUUGAGGUACUAUGUUUAAAAUGCCAUCAUCAACAAAUGUUGGUUUAAUUAACAUUUCUACUGAAACUGGGCUCUUGGGCUCAGUUGGUCCUGUGCUUGCCAAACAUGCAUGGAUCCCUAGUUCAAUCCCCAGUACACAUAAAGCCAGUGUACUUGUACAUGCCGACAAUUGCAAUACUCAUAAGGUGGGAGCCAGAGACUAUAAGUUCAAAGUCAUCCUCAAUUAAUCAUUGAAUCAAAGCCUGGGAUAGAGGAGACACUCUCUAAAUCAAAGUAAAACAACUACCAUCACAAAACAAAACAAAAUUAUUAAAAACCACAACCUCAAAUUAUUUUCAACUUCUUUAUGAAUCUGAGACUCCGCAAUGUGUAAUGGUCCUAGAGGAUGAAUGUUUUCCCAAGAUGCAACCUGACUUUCAGGCAAACAUUAUAAAAAUGUGACUUGGGAUCCUGAAGUGUCUCCAUGCCUCUUGUCCAUCCAGCUCCUCUCCACAUUGGGUUUAGUCCUUGACUGUGAUUUGAACAAAUACGAUGCAGAGCAAUUUCAUUAUUUCCCUUAGCAACUCUGAGUGGCUCUUAUAGUUUUCAACACAUUUGACGAGAGCUAAGACCUUUUUCUUCAGAAUGUAGAUGGACAUUUAAGCUGAUGACAUUAAGAUGAUAUUCAAGAGUCUGUGGGACAGAGACUCAACAUAAAAAGGUUUUGGCGCUUUUUAUCUCUUUCAUUGAUUAGUUUGGUUCCCAUCAUUUUAGGCAGAGUUGGUCUUAAAUGGUAAUUUUCAAUAUCUGAGUCUUCUUUCCUAUGAAGUAUAGAUAUGAUUGCAUAUUCAGUAGAAUUUCCCAUUUUGGAUGCCUCAUUUUUGUAUCUGCUAGUAAUCUCUUGCUUUACGAUCUUGGCAUACAUCUUGUGCCAGCUCAUUUUAAAGGUAAAAUUUAAAAAAUUAAAACAAAACUGAAUCUGUAUCAUGAGUAGAAGUGUGCAAAAGCUACCCAAAGACUUUUUUAAGCAUUUUAUCAUUCAACAAGCUCCACGUUUUGCAUUUUAUUCUCCUAGUUUUGAUAUUAUAUUAAGAUAAGUGAUUUAAGAAGAACUAUUUAUUAGAAAGGAACAUGUUACAGAAAAAUAAUGCAUAUAUAGUGGCUUAUUGUGUGGGAAGAGUUAUAAUUGGUUUCAUUGGACAAAACCGGAAAACAAUUUCUCUUUUAAGAUGGGAGGUUUAGAAAUCUAACCACAGUAUGUUGACAUUGCAACACACACACACACACACACACACACACACACAUGUAUGUGCAAUAAUUAUGUCUUAUAAGCCAAUUAAAUUGUAAGAAAUUACUGAGGAUCCACCAAUCACUUUGGCUGGAAAUUGAGCAUAGGAACUCAGUACUUUUCUUCUGUUCCAUCUAGACAAGGUCCUUCUGAGAAGUACAGAGAACAGAAAGUGUGGAUGCAGCAUGGUUGAUCAGGAGGUGCCUUGCCAGAAUAGUUUUGUUCUUGUUGCUUGAUUAGGAGAGGCCGACGUUUAAAUUUUAAGAGAAAUAGAUGACAAGAUUAAGAUAAAAGUAAGUAUGCAAAAUGGAUGGACUCAUUCUUUUAGAUAAUAUGAUGUCUUCUUUAACCCCCAGUCAUAAACUCGGUAACUAAACAUUUGUCUCAAUUUCUGCCUGACUGGUAGAGUUUGAAAUUUUAGCCCCAAAUAAAAGGCCUUUCUGACCCAGAGAAUAUGUGAUUCUUUCCUAAAAGAAUGUUUGUGAUUCUCCAAACCAUGGCUGCAAGAUAAUGUGAAGAGGAGGCACAAAAUAGGGCUUAGAGGAUGAUUUAAACAAACUGCUCAGACAGUAAAUUAGCCCUUCCCCGCCCUGUGUGGAGUUCUCCAAGACAGAUGUAACCCAGAGUUGGGUUCUGAAACACUAAGUUUGCAUGCUUAGUAAGGUUCCUUCCUUCCUUCCUUUUUUCCUUUCUUCCUUCCUUCCUUCUUCCUUCCUUCUUUCCUUCCUUCCUCAUUUUUUGUUUACAAAAGAAGCAAUUCAUUUGUAGGGCAUUUCAAGCUGGCAAAUGGCCAACAAUAAUUUGUAUCACAGCCAGGUGCAAAAGGUAUUGAGAAACACACGGUACAAGAAUAUUCUGAAAAGAGGAAAACAAAAUGGAAAGUUAUUCAUCUUUCUAUAUGGCCUUUUUAAAAGCUACUUACAAUUUCAUGCUGUUUACAGGCAUUUUUGUCAAGUUUCUUUGUUGAGAAGGCAGAAGAGUGAGGCUUUCGUGAGAGAUUCACAAAGGGACUGAAGGGAUUCCGAGUGACAGUAGAGUUUAGCCGGUUGUUUGCAAGACUUGCUAACUAGGAGAGGGGAAGGCUGAUCUCCUUUGCUUCUCCAGAGAGGACAUUUCAAGAACCUUACUGAUGAUGAAAGCUGCCUCUGGUGUCAAAUAGUUUUUCCCCCUUUCUUCUUCAUUUUUCUCCUUCUUGACUGACCUACAAGAUGCCUCAUCUGAGUGAUUGGUGUUCUGGGACGAGGGAAGAGGCUGGCCACCCCGGUGCUUCCUUGGCAUGCUGGUUAAUGUUAUGAGGAAAGAAGAAUUCUCAAUUCUAGAAUAGCCACACAGAGUCCUUAACUGAUGGCAACAAGAUCAUGGCCCAGAAGAAUGUUCAUGAAUAGAGCAAACAGAAGGGCAUAGAGCAGAACAAUGGCACUGGGAGUCAGGAAGGUCAACUGAGAUGCAAAACGAGUGGAGAAGGCAUAGAGGGAGCUUCCCUUGGGUGGUCUAACCAGGACGAAGACCUCAUUAGGCACUCCCUGAUACAGGUAACAGCUCAUGGAUCUGACUCACAGACAUAGGAAUGGUAGUGCAGGGCAUAAAGUCAAAGAGAAAGGCUUUAUUUUGUAAUGUGUUAAUGUUCAUAAUAUCAGAGAAUUAGAUGGGCUGUUCAUAGAAGCAACUAGAAAGCACCCUUAAAUACAUCCUCUUGUCUCAGUAGGGAAUUAGUCAUCUAUCUGCUUCCUCACGGCAAUAUUUAUGACUCUUCUUACUAUUCAACCUUUGCUGGAAUUACAAAGCCAGACACACUCCAGACCCUACCAAGAUUAUAGUUAAAUGAAGUAUCCUGGGAGUGACACUUGUGCUGCUAAAUACCUGGGGACGUGACCAAAGGGGCACAGGCUCUUGAGUAUUUAUUUGUUUAUUUAUCUAAUUUAUUUAUUUAAUAUUAAGAGGACAAUGUCUCCCUGGAAGAACCCGCCAGGUGGGCACAAUGGAUUUUGUUUGUGUCUGGUCAUGCAUCCACAGCUCAUACGAUGCAAGUUAAAUCCAAUGCAUACUACGUUUCCCCCUUGCAUUGAAAUUGACAGAAGGCUCCAUGAAAUCCUGAAAAAUUAUUUCCUUAACCUAACACUUCCCAAAUAGGGUCAAGGUCUAGCUCCUUUGUGCAUGUAACAGGCUGGUCAUCUUGUUGAACAGUUUGGGAAACACCCUUUGCACUAAGUCCAGAGCCUCCACCACACUGGUCUCUUUUACCAGAACCCAGCUUUUGAACUCCACCUAUCAUCAUUACUUAUGCCAGCCCUCACUUUCGGACACAUCCUAGUUACUUUUCCUAUCAUUCCAACUUUUUACCCAACUCUGAUGCCACCUCCUUCUCGAAGCCAUGCCAACCACCUCAGAUCAGACUCAUGUUGCUAUUCUCCGGCCUUUGAAGACAAACUUUGGCUAAGUCACUCAGUGUUUAUUUAGUUAUCACCCAAUAAUUACUCUGUACUAUUUUGCUCUCUUCGCCAUUUGUGCUUAUAGCAUUACUCUUUCCACUUUUAGGGUGAUUGUAUUAGCUUCUAAAUCUUCUGAAGGGACUUUCAUGUCAAAAGGCAGAGUAUAUUCAUUUCUUUUCUUACUGUUGUGAUCAAAUAGCUGGCCUGAAACAACUUACCAUAGGUAGGCUUCAUCAGGCUUAACGGUUACAGCUUCCAGAUUUUUUCUGGCAAAUGUUAGGUUAAGCAAAUAACUCUUCAGGACUUCCUGAAGCCCUUAGUGGAAUUCGACCAGAGGAAGGGGUGUCAUUAAUCAUGGUAGAAGAACAUGGUGACAAGGGUGCUUGGUGUUGGUCACAUUGUAUCCUCAGUGAGGGAGUGAGGUUAGGCAAUAAAAUCUCAAAGCUUUCCUUCAGUGACUCAUGUAUUUCUAUGAGGUUCCAUGUCUGAAAGGCCUGCAAGCUUCUACACCAGGGCCACCAGCCAGGAUCAAGUGUUCCAGCUUCCUGGGGAUAUUUCACAUCCAAACCACAGCACAGAAUUGUGAAAGGACUCAGGAGAAGGCGCCAUCCAUCAAGUGCUUUUGGUUUUCAAAGAGACUGCCCUUGUCUUUAAAAAGGUGGGAAGUAUGUUAGAUGAUCCACCCGUCCAGACUGUAAUCAUAAAACCAGCCGACAAACAAAGAAUUAGUCCAAAGCAACAUGACUUCCCUGUUCAGAGCGACUGUUGGGUUAUAUGGGAAGAGGUGCCUGGUUCCUGCGGUGGCUGGUGUGUGCACCUGGUGUUCAUAGCCUGGAUGUCUCAAGCAUGCGGUCAUUGCUCAAGAGUCUGGGAAGACUCAGCUGUCUAGUGGGUCAGCUAAGUCUUCAACCCACAUGGUUGCCUAUGGUUAACAAAAGAGUCUAGAAAAAGAAACUUUGAUUCUUCUUAUAUUAUAUAUAUAUAAUAUACAUUUCAAUUAAGAAAAAUGAGUGUUAAUUCACUAAACAUUUAUUGAAUGCCUAUUAUCUGCUGCAAAGUUACUAACAGCUGUACAACAGUAAAAGAAAGACAGGUAUUGUGGUGGAGACAGGAAACAGGGAAACAAAUUAGCAGAUAAUAGCAGCAGUAUUUACUAAAGAGUUAAAUGCUAGUGGACAGUUAAAGCUGGGCAUGGGAAAGAAAGGGCAGGAGGGUCAGGGAAGGCUCCCCUUCUUAGGAUGACAUUUCAGCAGGAGGGUAAAGGUAAUGUGGGAGCUAUACGGGCUAAGAGUCACCUCAUAGGCAAGAGAGGAAAGUGGUUUGAAGCAAGCUAAAGAAAUAUACCAAGUGUUUUAUUUGUAAGGGAAUCAGGAGGCUAUAGUGAAUUCUAAGAGGACUACAUUAGUGUUUGCAAAGGAUCAUUCUGGGUAUGGGGGACGGAGAAUGUGUUGAAGAUCCCAAGAGAGGGGGGUGUUGGUAGAAGGACAUGGCUUAGGUCAUAGGAAAUGUAAGAUGCUAGUAGCUUGGAUCAGAACAGGAUUUCUUAGCACUUCGAUAUUUGGUGCUGGAUAAUUCUUAGUGUCAGGGAUUUCUCAUAGGAUCCAAAUCAGAGGUUCUCAAUCUGUGAGUCAUGUCCCUUUUGGGGGAGGUGUCAAAUGAUCCUUUCACAGGGGUCAUAUAUCAGAUAUCCUG